AUUCCGUACAAAAAAAAUUAGUUCCGUUACUAAUCGAAACUUCUUCGCGUGAGUCAAGAAGAAAAGAGGUAGAAAAGAAUAAAGAAACCGGAACAAAACAGCCAAUCUUUGGAACGAACAUGCUUUCCUCUUCCCAGUAGUCUCCAGAUCACUAUAUGUAAGGCCCUAAUCAUGCGAAACAAGUUUAGCGAUGCCAUGUUCUGUUCUGAUGUUCAUGUCUCGCCAGUCGUCCCCGAGGUACUUCUUCCUGGCAACGCGAAAGAAAUACCUUGUCUGCCACAAAGUAGGACAUCGUGAUACAUAACAGUUUGAAAAAUAAUUUGUGUUUCUAUUUCGGCGGUUCGUUUUCUAUGUAUGCGAAGAUACUUCAAGAUCUGUCCUCAAAUUAUAUAAACAAUUAGAACUUCACGACACGGCUUUCAGAGACUGCCAGUGUACAGAAUUUGGACACUGUUGAAGUUAAAAACGUAAAUUUGUAUAACAAAAAUAAUUAAAAAAUUAAUUUGCAGUGAAACAAUCAGUGUUUGUUAAAUCUGUUGCAUUGUGUUCAGCAUUAUCCGGGUAUUGGAAGAUGCAGUUGCCACUUGCUUAAGCAUCAUACCAUUAGAAUACAUGGGGAAGUGAUGGAGAAGUUCCACAUAAGCUUACUCUCAGCAGUAGACAAAGGCACAGAUCCUGCCCCAUUUCCAGUUCGACUCUCUGUUGGCGAGUUUCUUGAUCCUGUUGGGGAAUCAGUAUCAAGUAAUGACGAUAAAAAGGUAUCCACUGCACCUCCUUUCUCUUCAUCUAGAACAUCCACUGAACUUCUUCUCAAUCUGCUACUUUCAAAAUAUCUGCUGGUGCUUUCAAAGUGAUUCCCAUCAUUUUGUUGAAAUGCUGGACUAUGUGCUGGGCUUGGUGAAUGUUUAAAGUAUGAGUCUUCUGAAGCCAUUUGAUGCCUUGAGUGAGACCCAAAACUGGAUGUGUACUGAGUUCCAGCUAACCAGCUUGCUGUGGUACAAGUGAUACUCUGUACAGAGAUCCUCCAAGAGACUCCAUUCGGUGUGGAACAGAACAUCCACCUGAUACAAUGUCUACGCACACAUCCCCCAAACCACCUGUACCAGAG